GACAGAGCUGCUGUGGAGUCUGACUGCUUUUGCUUGAGCAACUGACGCCAAGUCCCUUGCUGUACAUCUUGGUGGUGGAAGUAAGACCAGGAUCAGGCCCAAAGGAGCUCAGUCCUCCUCCUCCCUCCCUUCUCUUGCCCUGUUUUGAGGCCCACACCAAACUUGCUGAACGGCCACAAGUGGCAAGUACAGAAGUGCUGAAUUGCAGCUUGAAAAACAACAGAGUGAUUAUUGCUGUGCAGGAGAGAAGGAUUAAUACACCAGCCCAAUGUGAGACUCAUAUUUCGGCCAAAGUAUUUUCAUACAGGUGAGAAUCUACAUCAAUUUUCUCAGCUACUUGAUUCAUAGAAAAACAGUGAUGAAGAAACAAGAAAAAACAAACAAACAUCAUAUAGGCUCAGGGGACAGUUUAUCAGUCAUCAUAUUAAUGUGCAGCAAGGUACCCAUGACAGGAAGAAACUGACUCUCCAGGCAUGUUAAUAAAAAACGCUGAGCUGAUGUAGAGGCUCUGUUGCUGAUUCUCUCCUUUCUAAAGUGCCUCUCUUCAGACCAUCAGGAGAGGCGAGGGAUCUGAUCCAGCACUGUCUGAGAGCAGGAGUGGAGAAAGGUCUGCUAAGGCUUGGAUGGUGCACUGCUACUCAGCCGGAGUGAGCGUGAUGGAUGGGGUGGCUGCUCCGCGUUAGGCAGGGUGCAGAGGGGCCUCAGUUACACCUAUUAAUGCCAUCCAUUUUCCCAGGCUCAUCUGGCACUCACUCUUUGUCACCACUCUUGUUACCUUUUCCUGAUGGUAAAUGCUGGGGAACUUCAAGGUAUUUGAACAGUCAGAGGCGACAAAUCCCUACUAAGAAGAAAGUGUAAAACAGCAGGAGAAACAUGUUGGCUUCAUCCUGAGUGAACAUUAAAUACACUUCACAUUUGUCUAAGGAGACAGUUAAUGGGAAAACGGGCUCUUUAAUUGAACAGGCUGAGAGUUUCACGCAGCUGCAUAUAACAAAUGCUCAGGAGAAAGCCAUUUUUCUAGGCAGGGAUCCUAGCCUGGGUGAGGCAGGAGGGAGCAUUUUUUCCAGAGAAUUAACAGCAAAUGCAAGUGGUUGCUGUCUUGAAGCUCAGGGCAUGCCAACUGGUAUAUUAAAUUCGUCUGGGUCAUCAUAGCCUUCCACAGAGCUGCUGCUUUUCGUGCUAAGUGACUCACUGGCAGCAUUACUCACCAGGACACCUAUGCAUCUCCACAACAUGCUCGUGUUGUUUUGCAUCUUCUGCCAAUCCCAGUGCUCUCAGCAAGAAGGUUCAUGAUCCCACUGACAGAAAGCUUACCACGAUGGGACUCCUCACAAGCCCCUCACUAUCUGCAGCUGGCCGCCGAGCCGGACUGCUCCCUCCUGGAUUAGUCCUUUGCACCAGCUUCCGAAGUACAAGGUGUCCACAACUGUUGCAACAAGGAGCCAGCCACACUAACCCAGAAAGUUAAUCAAGAACUGACUAUGGGUUGUAUAAAGUGUAUUUUCCCUGACAUGUGCUGCAUGCUACACAUGUUCAUUUGCAUUUGCAUCAGUCUUCCCAUCUCCCCUUCAGUUCCUCCUGUCUGUAUGCAAUCCUUCAAACACACUUUCCCGCAACACAUCCACUUCACAGUCUAAAGAGCACAAAAGAUCCUGGGAUUAACUUGAAUAUUAUUUUCCUUUACUUGCUAGAAACGUCAUUCAGACACAUAAGCCACAGAGGAAAAUCCAUUAGCUGCCCAGGGUGCACAGCAGAGGGUGGUGGGGCCAGUGACACAGCCAAAGCAGUGCACCAGCUUUCACAGUUAUCAUGCUAAUUAAUAACAUAAUUAAAUGAAGAAAGCUCAUUACUGGAGUAUCAAGGGAAGGGACAAAGGUAAAAAUGUAGUAAGAAAGGACUGAAGGAAUCUCCUCUGCUGUCAAGUCCCCUUCCUUCUGAUUCCUAUCACACCAGCUUAUUAAAGCCUGUCUUAAAAGCAGUGGCUUUUCUCUUGCUCCCCUGGGGAGGCUGUUAAAGAGCUUCCCUCAUCAUAUAUCAAGGAAUCUCCUCAUUUGCAAACAAAAUUUUUACUUAACCAGUUUGUUCUUGUUCUGUAGCUUAAAUCAUCUCUCCCUCAUGAGGCUUUCUCUCUCCCAUGAACAGCAGCCACCUCUCUUCUCCUCUGAUAUUUAUUGCUGAGCAGGCUGCAGGAGCAUCCCCUCCCUCAGCAGCUCCUUUGUCCCCUGUGUCCUCAAUGCUCUUCUCCACGGCUGCAAGCCCCAAACCCCUCAGCAUGCACAGAAAUCUAGCAAUGC